UACGUAGGGGGCGAGCGUUAUCCGGAAUUACUGGGCGUAAAGCGCACGCAGGCGGUUCGCCAAGUUUGGAGUGACAGUUGUCGGCUCAACCGACAAAGGACUUCAAAAACUGGUGAACUUGAGGACGAGAGAGGAACAUGGAACUCCAGGUGUAGUAGUGAAAUGCGUAGAUAUCUGGAAGAACACCAAUGGCGAAGGCAAUGUUCUGGCUCGUUUCUGACGCUCAGGUGCGAAAGCCAGGGGAGCGAACGGA
rnacentral:rRNA from 1 species